CCUCAAUCUAUCCAUAAUGUUUCAGAAAACUCAGUGCAAGCUUCGGUAGCUUGUUUCAAAAAAGACAAAAAUCCUAACAAACGGUGGAUGCAAGUAUCGAUUAGCUUUCGAGGUAUAAGAACACCAAAUGGUGGAUAAAUAAUUUUUCGUCUUUCUCGAGCGAUUUUUCCAAUGAUCCAAAUUACUUGGUUUCUUGUGAUUAACACAAAUUUUCGCAAGACUAAAAUAUAUGUAUAUUUGGCACAUGAGACAGACAAAAUCGAAGAUCCACUUUUGCCUAUGUUCUUCAUAGAUAUAAAUAUAAGGCUUAACGUCGUCUUAUCGAAAAGAACGACAACAACAAACAAUGCUCUUAUCUUUCUCUUGGACUUAACUAAAAGACAAGUCCAGUAGAAACCACGAAAUCUUGAAAAUCGGUAAUUUCAUCAUAAGCAUCGUUUGUUGGACUACGGUGACAUUUGCAGAUUUCUAAGAACGCGUUUUAUCUGCGUCUCGAAGACUCGUCCGCGUGUCUCGUCCGCAUGUUCGUUUAUCAUCCUCGCGAACGAUUCAUCGUUCCCGCUCGACGAUGCAUCAUAAAGCGGCUUAAUUAUCACCGUGACUAUGGAUCUCGUGGAACGCUCUUUUCCGACCGUGGUUUAAAUGGCACAGAGCCGGAGCCGCUUUUAUGGCCACGAAAGACUUGCCAGAUGCACAAGUUCGGGACAUCCGGGCCUUGUCCUACCGCUUUCCCCGGGAUUCGCCAAGAUAACAUCAGAUGCGAUGUACUGUGACUGUGAUUGAUGGCUGCCUUGUGUCUCGCGAUGCGACUGGGAUGAGCAUUUCUUUGUGAGAUACUCUGUUAGUGUAGUUAGGGUCCGCAACCACGUAAUUAGCAUGCCAACCGUGUGCUCGAGCUUGUGACAUGAAAGCACGCGCGACGUCGUUUCUUCUGGUGCGAUAAAGCACCUCAAAGGGAUUCUUCGAUCUCUUUAUCCUUUAAUCCGUGUUAUUGUGCGUUUGUUUUGGACUAUCACGGAAGAUUGAUUCUUCAGCUGAACACGUAAAGCUGUUGCUCCUGAGCAGAUGGAUCAAAUUUACUCUCAAAAUUCGACAAAGUCGAUUGGUCAGAGAUGAAAUUCUUGGAUCGUCGCGAGACGAACGAAAGCGAAAGCAUUUGUACAAAACGGUUUUCAUUAAUCAAGAACGAAAGUUUGAGGUCUUGCAAGCAAUCGGAUACGUUCUGGUUGUAUAGACGAGGAUGUUCAAUUUGAUGAAUCUAUGGAUCAUCAAUUCCAGAGAGAUGUCUAGGUUUGCUAAAGGAUUGCAGAAGGCAUUAUUUCUAUAAAGGCUGUUGUAUUUCUAUAAAAAGUUACCAAUUGAUCAUCCUGAUAGUGAAUAAUGUCUCAUUACGAUGCGAUUUUAGAAUCAAUGAUUUCAAGUUCUAAAUAUAUCGUAAAUAUAGGUAACUUGAAACCUGUUUGAAUAUUUAACUGCGGGAUAUCGUUUUCUUUUCAUGGUUUAGUGGUAGUGAGAUCAAAUAUCAGCGCAACGACCUGUGGUGCAAGGUUAUUCGAGGCCAUUCAAGGUAUCCGUCAUGCUCUAAAAGUUGCGUCUGACCACAAGUGGAAUCGUUCUACUGUCGCGACCUGAAUUUAUGAUCGCAAGAGGAUUAAGAAAGAG